rnacentral:rRNA from 1 species
UACGUAGGGUGCGAGCGUUAAUCGGAAUAACUGGGCGUAAAGGGUGCGCAGGCGGAUAUUUAAGUUAGAAGUGAAAGUCCCGGGCUCAACCUGGGAAGGUCUUUUAAGACUGAGUAUCUAGAGUAAGUCAGAGGGGGGUGGAAUUCCAAGUGUAGCAGUGAAAUGCGUAGAGAUUUGGAGGAACACCAAUGGCGAAGGCAGCCCCCUGGGAUGUAACUGACGCUCAUGCACGAAAGCGUGGGUAGCAAAC